CGCCUGGGGAGUACGGGUGAGGUAACGGCUCACCAAGGCAUCGACGGGUAGCUGGUCUGAGAGGAUGAUCAGCCACACUGGGACUGAGACACGGCCCAGACUCCUACGGGAGGCAGCAGUAGGGAAUAUUGCACAAUGGGCGAAAGCCUGAUGCAGCAACGCCGCGUGCGGGAAGAAGGCCCUAGGGUUGUAAACCGCUUUCAGCAGGGAAGAAAAUGACGGUACCUGCAGAAGAAGGUGCGGCCAACUACGUGCCAGCAGCCGCGGUGACACGUAGGCACCAAGCGUUGUCCGGAUUUAUUGGGCGUAAAGAGCUCGUAGGCGGUUCAGUUAGUCGGGUGUGAAAACUCUGGGCUCAACCCAGAGACGCCACUCGAUACUGCUGUGACUAGAGUGCGGUAGGGGAGCGGGGAAUUCCUAGUGUAGCGGUGAAAUGCGCAGAUAUUAGGAGGAACACCAGUGGCGAAGGCGCCGCUCUGGGCCGUAACUGACGCUGAGGAGCGAAAGCGUGGGUAGCAAACAGGAUUAGAUACCCUGGUAGUCCACGCCGUAAACGUUGGGCACUAGGUGUGGGUCUCAACCAACGAGAUCCGCGCCGUCGCUAACGCAUUAAGUGCCCCGCCUGGGGAGUACGG
rnacentral:rRNA from 1 species